rnacentral:lncRNA from 1 species
UGAAGACAGGUCAGGGAUGACUUAGCAGAACUGGCGUGAGCAGUUGCCGUCCCUUGACAGGGAAGGUGGGCAGCCUGCUGGCUGCAGCACAGCACAUGUGUUCAUCCUCCAUAUUUGGCCGGCCUGGCAGUUGUUUCUGAAAUCCGACUCCUGGUGCCAUGGGGAUGACCUUUGCUCUACUUCCCAGCAUUCACCUGCAUUCACCCUGCUCCCGGGAAGCUCAGUAAGAGAGUGGACAGUGUGGGUAGACACGCUGGUCAUGAGUUAGCCAUGCUAAUUCAGCAUGCUUUAAUUAAUUUUACCGGCAUGGUUAGAGAGAUGCAGUGCAUUUAAGAGAGGACUUCAUCAGCUCAGAGUCCAAGAUCCAUGCAGCCACCUGGGGAAAAGAAGCACGGAGAUUCUCCCAGAAGCCCUGACGGUGGGGACUUGUCCAGCAGCACUCCAGACUGUUUAACUUCAUAGUCAACUGAAAAUGGGAAAGAUCAAGGCUUCCAAGGGGCUUAAUCUGAGGCCAAGUGGGGUGUGUGUUCCAGAGAGCAGGCUAUGUUGGCACUGGACCGUGAAACAGAGGAUUCAGACAGCAGUUCCUCAAGCCAAGGAGCCUGGUGGAUUAAUUCCAGAAGUCAACAAGACCACACGGUGGCAAUGGAACAUGGCCAGCACAGAUGUGGCUCAUUCAUCAGUGGUUCCUCAUUAUGGUCCACAGCCAGGCCCUGGUUUCCUGCCAUGGCUCCCUGCAGGAACUCUCUCCGCAAAGAAUCACCUCUCAUUGGCAUGCAAAUUGAGAAUAAAAGAAGUGCCUUCCAAGAACAAGCCUAAAGAAGCAACUUCCUGUUCACAAUUGAAAACAGGAUUGUCCUCAAUAAAUGUGUACAUGUCCACAGUGCAAGGCCCUGUGCCUAGUAACUCAGACACUAUUGAGAACAGGCGGCCUCCCUCCUCUCCAGGGAUUUGCGCUGAGUCUGUCCUGAAGUUGAGAUGUUUGUAGGAGAGAUGGGGCACAGCUCCUGAGUCAUGCCAGCCUUAGCAUUAACCAAAGAUAACAAUAGCAUUUAAUGUUCAUUCUGCAUCUGGGUGCCAGACAUCAUGACAAAUGUUAUAUGUGUACAAAGUAAAAUUUUGUCUUCUUUGAAGCGAUUCAAUUAUGCUUUGAGUCCUUACUCUGCCAGGCUGUUGGGGAUGCCCAUGGCAGCUGUC